GACGAACGCUGGCUGCGUGCUUAACACAUGCAAGUCGAACGCUGAAGCCCCAGCUUGCUGGGGUGGAUGAGUGGCGAACGGGUGAGUAACACGUGAGUAACCUGCCCCUGACUUCGGGAUAAGCCCGGGAAACUGGGUCUAAUACCGGAUACGACUAUCGGACGCAUGUCUGGUGGUGGAAAGUUUUUUCGGUUGGGGAUGGGCUCGCGGCCUAUCAGUUUGUUGGUGAGGUAAUGGCUCACCAAGACGACGACGGGUAGCCGGCCUGAGAGGGCGACCGGCCACACUGGGACUGAGACACGGCCCAGACUCCUACGGGAGGCAGCAGUGGGGAAUAUUGCACAAUGGGGGAAACCCUGAUGCAGCGACGCAGCGUGCGGGAUGACGGCCUUCGGGUUGUAAACCGCCUUCAGCAGGGAAGAAGCCUUCGGGUGACGGUACCUGCAGAAGAAGUACCGGCUAACUACGUG
rnacentral:rRNA from 1 species